GUCAGAGGGCUGGAGCAGCUCUCCUAUGAGGAAAGGUUGAGGGAACUGAGCUUGUUUAGCUUGGAGAAGAGAAGGCUGUGGGGAGACCUCAUUGUGGCCUUCCAGUACUUGAAGGGAGCGUAUAAACAGGAGGGGGAACGGCUGUUUACGAGGGUGGAUGGUGAUAGGUCAAGGGGGAAUGGUUUUAAGCUGAGACAGGGGAGGUAAGCCUUACAGCCCCUCAAGGAGGUUGUGGAUGGCCCAUCCCUGGAGGCAUUCAAGGCCAGGCUGGAUGUGGCUCUGGGCAGCCUGGGCUGCUGGUUGGUGACCCUGCACAUAGCAGGGGGUUGGAACUGGAUGAGCACUGUGGGCCUUUGCAGCCCAGGCCAUCCUGUGACUACAAUGUCGUUAUUUCAUCAUUAAUGCACAUAGUGCCACUGUUUUUGGUCCUGAACCAAUAAUUUGUUAAUAAACCACAAAGGGGGAAAUGUUGGGGUUGCAGACAGUGUUCAGAAUGGAGGCUGAGAAUCAACACUGGCAAGCGUGUAUGAGGACACUGAGAAGAAAGGCUGUGUGCAGGAGAGCAGAGCAGGCGUCAGGUGGGUGGGCCAUAUCCCCGCAUGGUGACCACCCUGAGUGGAGGAGCAGUGCAGGAACUGAAGCAACGUGUGGCUGUGAUGGGAUGGGCACUGUGUGGGCAGUCGGUGUGAGGACAUGAGGGAGAAUUGUUAAGUGUUCUAUGGACAUGAAGGGGGAUGGAGAAUGACAGGAGGGAGCUUGGAGAUGUGUAUAAGAUGUGUCAGAGCCUGCAGUGAAGGGUUUGGAUUUGAAUUUGGAUCGUUCCCACCUCACUCCGGGCCUCAAUUGCCUCAAAGGAGCAUUGGCUUUAAGCUAAAAGAGGGGAUUCAGGUGAGAUGUGAGGCGUUAUUCACCACAGGGUGGAGUGGUCAUGGCAGGGAGAAGUGCAAGUGCCCAUCACUGCAGACCACAGGGCCACAGAGGUGUUGGAAAUAUCCCAUAAUUUGUCAGGACAGUAUUAAUGAUAAAAGCAGAUUUUAUUUGAGGUUGCAAUGGUGGUCAUCCUGCAAGCAGGAGAUUUACAUUUCCAUCUCGUAACUCCAUUCUGACACUGUUAAUUCACAGUCUAUCUUGUGCAUGCUGGACGCCAUCCUGCUGUUUCCAGGAUGUCUCGGUACCCUUCUUAUGGUCCUGCCGUGGUGAUUCUGUCGCUGGCCAUUCCUUUCAACCCAAAGGAUGGUUCUUUCUAACACACAAAGCACAGGGAGGUGCCAGGCCUUCCUGAUGCCUCUUCAGCCACAUCCUUGGGCAUGUCAUGCCUGGUUCUCUGUGGUCAUCCAUCUCUCAUGCAGGAUAUUCCUGCACUGCACCUGAGCAGGCGGUGAAAUAUUGCAUAUACACAUCCUUACAGGCUAACACGAAGUGUUGCUGGCUGUAUGUGUAUAUUGCUGAUUAUUUUGCAAUAGUUCUUCCUAUACAUUACUCCACGUACCCAAUCGGUGAUGCACGAUGGCCAUGACAUAAAAUUCUUACCUUGCUGUUACACAGAAAAGCAUUCCAUUCCCGCAGAGGGGACUUUGCCAUCCGGCCCACGGGAGCAGCCCCUGCCCAUGGGGUUGGCACGGGGCGGGCUUUGAGGGCCAUUCCCACCCAAACCGGGCUAAGGUUCUGCAGUUCUGUGCUACAGCCCCAGGAUGGGUGCAGCCCCAUCGCUGCUCGGGGGCACUGCUGGGCUGUGUGACUCCGGGAUGGAAGGGAUCAGCAGCAGCCGGGAAGGGAAACCCUUCAGCGGUCUGAGCCGGAGGGAGCGCGGUGGGGCUGUGGCAUUGCCGGGCCCCACACUCGGGCUCAGGGAGUCUUCCUCCCCACGGAGGACCAGCGCUGCCAAAAGGGCUGUGCACGGCAGUGCCUCCAGCGCUCCUGCACCCACCGCCACAGCCUGGGGAAGCUGUGCUGCAGGCGCUGCCUGGCCCGGCACAGCCCCGGGGUCACCCGCAGAUGGGCCGUGCCCUUGGGACCCCAGAGGCACCCCGUAGGGUUGGUCCUGCCUGCAUCUGCCGGGAUGGCCCUGCAUGGAUCCAUGGGGAUGUUUCGGCGUGGAUCCAUCGGCCUGAUCCU
ensembl:lncRNA